UUUAGUUUUUUUAACAUAAGUCUCUAAUAAAUUAUUAAGACUAGCCGUCAAUUUUACUAACUAAGACUAUCCUUAAAAAUAUGUUUCCAAUUGAACCGGUCAUUAAACCGAGAUUAACCACAAAUCCGCGUUUACUGUACCGCGAUUGUGAUUUACCCAACUAAUCACUCACACCGUUAAGAAGACAACGUUGUUUUGUAAGUCUACAAUGGAGCUUCAAAAAAACACCACAGGGAGCCGAUACAGUCACACUCACACAGAGAAGCAGUCUAUGUGAUCAAUGAGAGUAGUUCUAGUUCUUUAUUGAUUUAGAUUGUCAUUGGAACAAUUUUCAACCUCUUUUGUCUAUUUUGGAUGAUAUAUUUUGGGAAGUUGAUUCUAUUUAGGAUGUUAUUGUUUAGGUUGACUGAUUGAUUUGGAGUCUUAUCUAUCCUUAUGAUUAGGAGUUUUAUCUAUUUCGAUUUGUCAUUUUCCUUACCAAUUAACACAACACAUAACAUAUAUAGAUAGAUUCACAUUAUAAAACAAAGACAAAACGACGUCGUUUUCUUAACGGGUGUGGGAUUAGUCGGGUAAAUCACAAUAGCGGUACAAUAAACGCAGAUUUGUGGUUAAUCUCGGUUUAAUGACCGAUUCAAUUGGAAACGUAUUUUUAAGGAUGAAUCUGAAAGUACAUGUUGCAAUUUUAAGAAUUAUCAAAGUUUAUGGUGGAAAUUUCAGGAGCAAAAAGUGUGGGGGGGGGGGGAAAGCUGAGAAUGCAAUAAUUAGUUUAUGGCUAUAAAAUCAUCCAACCCUUUUCUUAAUGGAUAUAGGUGAUGAAUCGGGUAAAUCGCAAUCGCGGUACAGUAAACGUGAAUUUGUGGUUAAUCUCGGUUUAAUGACCGGUUCAAUUGGAAAUGUAUUUUUAAGGAUGAAUCUGAAAGUACAUGUUGUAAUUUAAAGUAUUAUCAAAGUUUAUGGUGAAAAUUUCAGGAGCAAAAAGUAUAGGGGGAAAAGCUGAGAAUGCAAUUAGUUUAUGGUUAUAAAAUCAGCCAACCCAAUUUCGAAUCUUGUUGGUAUAGUUUAGUAGAGUUCUUUUACUUACUAAUA
rnacentral:sRNA from 1 species